ACCAGACUCCUACGGGAGGCAGCAGUAGGGAAUAUUGCACAAUGGGGGAAACCCUGAUGCAGCGACGCCGCGUGAGUGAAGAAGUAUUUCGGUAUGUAAAGCUCUAUCAGCAGGGAAGAAAAUGACGGUACCUGAUUAAGAAGCCCCGGCUAACUACGUGCCAGCAGCCGCGGUAAUACGUAGGGGGCAAGCGUUAUCCGGAUUUACUGGGUGUAAAGGGAGCGUAGACGGUGAUGCAAGUCAGAAGUGAAAGCCCGGGGCUCAACUCCGGGACUGCUUUUGAAACUGUGUAACUGGAGUGCAGGAGAGGUAAGCGGAAUUCCUGGUGUAGCGGUGAAAUGCGUAGAUAUCAGGAGGAACACCAGUGGCGAAGGCGGCUUACUGGACUGUAACUGACGUUGAGGCUCGAAAGCGUGGGGAGCAAACAGGAUUAGAUACCCGAGUA
rnacentral:rRNA from 1 species